ensembl:lncRNA
AUGUCUGCUCACGUUUCCUCCCCAGCCACAGAGUGGGAGAGGAGCAGUUUUGAGGGAACUCGCCCGGUGGUCUUCCGGGGAACCAGGGGAGGUCGCCGAGGAGGGAGUGGUCAAGAGGAGGUUCAACAUCGCGCUCAACCAUGGCCCCCCUUCGACCCUGGGCUCGUGGGGGACGGAUCAGAGCCACUGUCUCACCAUGGCGGACGGAGAGGGGAGAAGCGCAGGUCCGCCAUGGUGGUGCCACUGCCCAUGAUGGCCGCAGGGCCAGCGCCACGAGGCAAGAUGGAUGCCAGCCCAGCGCCACAGCACAGGGUGGUCACCAGCUCCACGCCACGACGCCAGACGGUUGCCAGCCCAGCGCCAAUGCCCAAGAUGGCCGCUGAGACAUUGUUGGAUUACUUUUCCAUGUUGAACCAGAUCUUAGAGAUGCCCAGGAGUGUUCUCGUCACGGCUGCUGAGCCAGCGCCAAUGCCCAAGAUGGCCACCAGCCCAGCACCACAGCACAAAAUGGCCGCCAGCCCAGAGCCGUUGCACAAGAUGGCUGCCAUCCCAGGCCCGCAGCACGAGAUGGCCGAAUCCACACCGGUGUCGCCAGACAAGAGGGCCGACUCAACGCCCGAGUCUCUGGGCAAGGUACCGCCGACUCACCGUCAUAGAGGGCGGAGGAGGAGACCGGCAUCGACCGUUCCUCAAGGCCCGGAGGCCGUUCCCGAGCAGCCCACUGCCAUCCCGGAGGCCGUUCCCGAUCAGGCCGCUGCCGGCCCGGAGGAGGUUCCCGAGCAGCCCGCUGCCGUCCCGGAGGCGGCGCCCGAGGCCGCGGCCGUGCCCGAUGCCGUUCCCGAGGCCGCGGCCGUCCCGGAGGGGGCGGCGGAGGCAGAGGCCGAUACGGUGCCCGAGGCGGUUCUUGAAGCCGAGGCGGGUCCCGGUGCCGUGGCGGGGGGUGAGGCGGUGACCGAUGCCGUUCCGGAGGGGGAGGCGGUGCCCGAUGCCGAGACGGUGCCUGAGGCCGUUCCCGAGGCAGUGCUCGAUCCGGAGGGCGAGGCGGUGCCCGAUGCCGUUCCGGAGGGUGAGGCGGUGCCCGAUGCUGUUCCGGAGGGCGAGGCGGUGCCCGAUGCCGUUCCGGAGGCCGAGGCGGUGCCCGAUGCCGUUCCGGAGGGCGAGGCGGUGCCCGAUGCCGAGACGGUUCCUGAGGCCGUUCCCGAGGCGGUUCUUGAGGCCGAGGCGGUUCCUGAUGCCGAGGCGGUGCCCGAUGCUGUUCCGGAGGUCGAGGCGGUGCCCGACGCCGUUCCGAUGGCUGAGGCGGUGCCCGAUCCCGAGGCGGUGCCCGAUACGGAGGCCGAGGCCGUUCCCGAUACCGUGACCGUUCCAGAGGUGGUGCCCGAAGCAGAGGUGCCUCACACCUCCACAGGCCGUCCAGAGCACCUUCACGUCUCCACAGGCCGUCCAGAGCGCCUUCACGUCUCCACAGGCCUUCCAGAAUGCCUUCACAUCUUCACAGGGCCUCCAGAGGGGCAGGUUCCGCUCUGGUCGCUCAAGUGGCGGGUUCCUCCCUGGCCAUCGCCACAGCCUGCUCCUCACUGA